rnacentral:rRNA from 1 species
AGCGAACAUUGGCGGUAGGCUUAACACAUGCAAGUCGAGCGAGGCGUAAUAGUCGAGCGGCGAACGGGUGAGUAAUACAUGGGAAUCUACCUCGAAGUGGGGGAUAACGUUCAGAAAUGGACGCUAAUACCGCAUAAUCCGGGAACGGGAAAGCGCGCUGCGCUUUGAGAUGAGCCCAUGGCUGAUUAGCUAGUUGGUGGGGUAAAGGCCUACCAAGGCGACGGUCCGUAGCUGGUUUGAGAGGAUGAUCAGCCACACUGGGACUGAGACACGGCACAGACUACUACGGGAGGCAGCAGUGGGGAAUAUUGGACAAUGGGCGCAAGCCUGAUCCAGCCAUGCCGCGUGUGUGAAGAAGGCCCUAGGGUUGUAAAGCACUUUAAGUAGGGAGGAAGGUCUGGUAAUUAAUACUUAUCAGGAUUGACGUUACCUACAGAAUAAGCACCGGCUAACUCCGUGCCAGCCGCCGCGGUAA